rnacentral:rRNA from 1 species
AACGAACGCUGGCGGCAGGCCUAACACAUGCAAGUCGAGCGAGGACUUCGGUCCUAGCGGCGGACGGGUGAGUAACGCGUGGGAACGUGCCCUUUGCUUCGGAAUAGCCCUGGGAAACUGGGAGUAAUACCGGAUGAGCCCUUUGGGGGAAAGAUUUAUCGGCGAAGGAUCGGCCCGCGUUGGAUUAGGUAGUUGGUGGGGUAAUGGCCUACCAAGCCGACGAUCCAUAGCUGGUUUGAGAGGAUGAUCAGCCACACUGGGACUGAGACACGGCCCAGACUCCUACGGGAGGCAGCAGUGGGGAAUCUUAGACAAUGGGGGAAACCCUGAUCGGGCCAUGCCGCGUGAGCGAUGAAGGCCUUAGGGUUGUAAAGCUCUUUCAGCUGGGAAGAUAAUGACGGUACUAGCAGAAGAAGCCCCGGCUAACUCCGUG